rnacentral:pre_miRNA from 1 species
UGAAAUCCAAGUGGACUUCCCUUACAAUCUACUCUUUCAGUUUCACAGAAGAUCCAGAUUAGAUUUUAAGGCAAACAAAUUGAUAGAGCAGAUUGUAAGGGAAGCCCACAUGGAUUUCA